rnacentral:rRNA from 1 species
CCUUUACACUGCACGACAGUGCGAUACGGGGACCCCGAGUGCGAGGGCAUACAGUCCUCGCUUUUGUGUACCGUAGGGAGGUACACGAAUAAGAGCUGGGCAAGACCGGUGCCAGCCGCCGCGGUAAUACCGGCAGCUCAAGUGAUGGCCGCUAUUAUUGGGCCUAAAGCGUCCGUAGCCGGCCGCACAAGUCCGUCGGGAAAUCCACCCGCCUACCGGGUGGGCGUCCGGCGGAAACUGUGCGGCUUGGGACCGGAAGACUCGAGGGGUACGUCCGGGGUAGGAGUGAAAUCCCGUAAUCCUGGACGGACCGCCGGUGGCGAAAGCGCCUCGAGAGGACGGAUCCGACGGUCAGGGACGAAAGCUAGGGUCUCGAACCGGAUUAGAUACCCCCGUAGUCC